GAGAAGAAACCCUAAAAACCAAAUAUACUUCUCCUCCUUUACCUUAGAAUGUUCUAUAUGCCAGGUCCCAGGGCUCCUUUUUUUUUUUUUCAUACAAUCUGCUUUUAAUCCCCUAAAAUAUCCGUCUUCAUUUUUCACGCUAAGGACUCGACGAGCAUUUAAUCUUCUAUCUAAAUCGAUGACCAAAACUGGACACAUUGAAAACCCUACAAUCGUUUAAUGUUCAACUGUGUUUUGUCGAUAAUUAGGAUUCCAUCUGGUCUUCGGCUUGGAUCGUAGUCAUAUGUGUUUGUUUUUCUGAUAACCGAAUGUCAUCCGAUACUUUCAAUGUAUGGGAAGCACGAUUUAUUUUUAGUUCUGCGAUUUGUAUGCCUUGAAAGUAAUGUAAUUAUUGUUGUUUCUUCUCAAUUCUUAUCUGUCUGCUGCUUGUUUUGCUUUAUUUCUUCGUGUUUCGUUGAGUGAUAACGUAUGCGGCUUGUGCUAAUCUUUCUUAAAUGGCUAUUUAUGUGUUAGGAUUUUGUUCAAUUGCAUGGAUUUUCAAUGUUUAGAAUGGUGUAAAAAGCAGGAAUUGUGUGUAUCGACACUGUGCAACCGUCAAUGCGCUAUGCUCGAAAGUGUUUCCUGCAAAAUAAACGAACGGGGGAAGAUGGGCAGUUGUGUUUCACUACCCACCAUUGAAAUCUUUCAACAAUCAUCUUUCCCCACAUGGUUUCUUUGCAAUAUAAUGCUUUUGAUGUUCAUCCAUUUCAUUUCAUCAUAUGGUUUCUACUUAUCCUUUUAUGAUUUUGUUGGUUCUUCUACUCUUAGAUAUUGAACCAUUUAAGCAUGAUCCUCACCAAUGCUUUCAUUAGAAUCUGUUAGAACUUAUGUGGGUGAAGCACGGUUAAUAAAAAGCUUUACUGGAAAUUUUUUUUUUCCUUCUACCAGACCCAUGUCUCUGAGGAUUAGUCUUUCUGUGAAAUUGAUGCAUUGUAUAAUCAAUUGAAAUCUUUCAACAAUCGUCUUCCUCACAAAAUAACCAGAUUGUACAUGAUGAUUUUUUUAAGUGUUUAGAUGGAUGUAGGAAGCAGGGAUUGUGUGUAUCUGACAUUGUGCUGCUACUGCACUAUGGUCAGAAAGAAUUCCCUGCAAAAUUAAACGACAAAGUGGAAGAUGGGCAGUUGUGUUUCAUCAUCCACAGUUGAAACCUUUCAACAAUCAUCUUCCCCACAUCUCAUUCAUUCAGACUCUUCUGAAAAGAAGUCUGAUGAUCUCCCAGUUUGUCUGUCAUCGAGUCACUUACGAUCGAUGUUACUCCCGUCUAUUUUGGAGGAGGCUGCAGCAAUUACCAUCCUGUACCAAUUUCUUCCAUCUAUUUAGUCUGUUAUUAAGUUGAAGCCAUAUUUGAUUCUUGUUUUCUGUUAUCAAUGGCUUAUGGAUCUAUGUAUAACUCAGUCAUGAGCAGAGAAUUAAGUGAUGAAAAAAUGU